UACAGAGGGGGCAAGCGUUGUUCGGAAUUACUGGGCGUAAAGGGCUCGUAGGUGGCCAACUAAGUCAUACGUGAAAUCCCUCGGCUUAACCGGGGAACUGCGUCUGAUACUGGAUGGCUUGAGUUUGGGAGAGGGACGCGGAAUUCCAGGUGUAGCGGUGAAAUGCGUAGAUAUCUGAAGGAACACCGGUGGCGAAGGCGGCGUCCUGGACCAACACUGACACUGAGGAGCGAAAGCCAGGGGAGCAAACAGG
rnacentral:rRNA from 1 species